UACGUAGGGCGCGAGCGUUGUCCGGAAUUAUUGGGCGUAAAGAGCUCGUAGGCGGUUUGUCGCGUCGGUUGUGAAAACCCAAGGCUCAACCUUGGGCCUGCAAUCGAUACGGGCAGACUAGAGUACUGCAGGGGAGACUGGAAUUCCUGGUGUAGCGGUGAAAUGCGCAGAUAUCAGGAGGAACACCGGUGGCGAAGGCGGGUCUCUGGGCCGAUACUGACGCUGAGGAGCGAAAGCGUGGGGAGCGAACAGG
rnacentral:rRNA from 1 species